rnacentral:rRNA from 1 species
GAUGAACGCUGGCGGCGUGCCUAACACAUGCAAGUCGAACGUGAGGGGGUACUUGUACUCCUGAAAGUGGCGAACGGGUGAGUAACACGUAGGUAACCUGCCGCGUAGUGGGGAAUAACGACUGGAAACGGUCGCUAAUACCGCAUAGGUCUGGGGGCACGGGAGUGCUUUUGGGCAAAGCGAUAGCGCUACGCGAGGGGCCUGCGUCCGAUUAGCUAGUUGGUGAGGUAAAGGCUCACCAAGGCGAUGAUCGGUAGCUGGUCUGAGAGGACGACCAGCCACACGGGAACUGAGACACGGUUCCGACUCCUACGGGGGGCAGCAGUGAGGAAUAUUGCACAAUGGGGGCAACCCUGAUGCAGCAACGCCGCGUGGGGGAUGAAGGCCUUUGGGUUGUAAACCCCUUUUCUCGGGGAAGAGGAAGGACGGUACUCGAGGAAUCAGUCACGGCUAACUACGUGCCAGCAGCCGCGGUAAGAC